rnacentral:rRNA from 1 species
UGGGGAAUUUGGACAAUGGGCGAAAGCCUGAUCCAGCAAUGCCGCGUGUGUGAAGAAGGCCUUCGGGUUGUAAAGCACUUUUGUCCGGAAAGAAAUCCUUGGCUCUAAUACAGUCGGGGGAUGACGGUACCGGAAGAAUAAGCACCGGCUAACUACGUGCCAGCAGCCGCGGUAAUACGUAGGGUGCAAGCGUUAAUCGGAAUUACUGGGCGUAAAGCGUGCGCAGGCGGUUUGCUAAGACCGAUGUGAAAUCCCCGGGCUCAACCUGGGAACUGCAUUGGUGACUGGCAGGCUAGAGUAUGGCAGAGGGGGGUAGAAUUCCACGUGUAGCAGUGAAAUGCGUAGAGAUGUGGAGGAAUACCGAUGGCGAAGGCAGCCCCCUGGGCCAAUACUGACGCUCAUGCACGAAAGCGUGGGGAGCAAACAGGAUUAGAUACCCUGGUAGUCCACGCCCUAAACGAUGUCAACUAGUUGUUGGGGAUUCAUUUCCUUAGUAACGUAGCUAACGCGUGAAGUUGACCGCCUGGGGAGUAC